GUGCUGCUUCAGCAGCACAUGUACUAAAAUUGGAAUGAUUCAGAGAAGAUAAGCACAGCCCCUGCACGAGGACAUGCAAAUUCAUAAAGCACUCCAUAUUUUG